rnacentral:lncRNA from 1 species
AAGCAUGCGGUUUGAGGCCUCCAGGGUGUUGAGUGGUGGACUCUGGGCCCAUUUAGAGCCUACAGCAGGUGCGAGGAAACACUUGCUGGGCUGUGCUGGGUGAGACAUCACCAAAGGACUUUCCUUCAGUGCUUCUCAAACUUUAAUAUGGAUUGGGAUAAACUGGGUUCCUCACUAAAAUGCAGGUUCUGAUUCAGCGGGUCUGGGAGGGCCUGAAAUUCUGCAUUUAUUUAUUUUUAAAUUUUUUUUUAGAGACAGGGUCUUGCUCUGUUGCCCAGGCUGGAGUGCAGUGGUGAGAUCAUGGCUCACUACAGCCUCAAACUCCAGGGCUUAAAGGAUCCUCCUGUCCCAGCCUCCAGAGUAGCUGGAACUUUACAGGUGUGCACCAUCAUGCAUAGCUAAUUUUUAUAUUUUAUUCUUGUAGAAAUGAGGUCUAUGUUGCCUGCUAUGUUGUCCAGGCUGGUCUUGAACUCCUGGCCUCAAGAGAUCCUCCUGCCUUGGUCUCCCAAAUUGUUGGGAUCACAGGCAUGAGCCACUGCACCUGGCUUGCGAUUCUGCUUUUCUAACAAGCUCCAGUGUGCUCCCGAUGCUGUCCCCUGCCACCUGAUGGCAUGAGGCCACAGGUCUUCUCUCCUAGUCCAACUUUGGACUCAGAUAAGGCCAGAGGAUGGUCUAAGUGACCUCUGAAGAUUCCAUGAGAGGAGAUUGCAGUAGACAGGGUCAAGAUUAAGUAGAAGGGCAGAGAAGGAAAAAUAGAGAUUCGACAAAGGGGCAAGAGAACAAGAGGGUGAGCCAACAAGUCCAUGCAUCCUUGACUCCUGAGGACAGUGGACAGGUUCUUCUAAGGGGGCCUGCAAUGUAGUCCUGGCUCUGGGCUAGUUAGUGACUUGAACUUGGGAACAUGGCUGCUCUCCUAGGAGCUCUACCCCAGUCUCCCUGCAAGGCACGGUGAGCCAGGUGCAUGGCUAGGCUGGAGCAGGGUGCCCCAGACUGCACCCUCACCUCCUGAGCAGCAGCUUAGGGUGGUUCUUGCUCUCCAGGUUCUUGUCAAUGAGGUCGGCCAGCAGCUGUUUCAGCACAUCAGUGGCGUACUCCAGCUUGCUCUGCAGCACGGUCAUGAUGAGUGAGGCCACGUUGCCACGGUCGCGCAUGGAGAAGCUACGCUGGGACUCAAGCGUGCGGAUGAAGGACAGCAGGAACACCUUGUUGUUGAUGAGCUGGGCGAAGAGCUUCAGGCCUUUCUCCACACGCUCCUGCCGGUAGCCCGGGACCUGCAGAGAGACCUAGGAGUCGUGAUGCCAUUGGCAGGUUGGGGAGCUCAGCGACCUCCCCACGGGAUGGCUGUGCCCAUAUCCAUGACCCUCUCAUCCACCAAUUAAGCCACAGUCCACCUGGCUAAUGCUGUCAAGCCCUUAGCACUGAGUUAAGUAUCUGAUUAACCUCCAUUGCAGCCUCUAGUUUAGAGAUGAAUCAAUUGAAGCACAGAGAGAGCAUCACAUAGUUAGUAAAUGGCAGGGCUAGGAUGGCACUCA